ACACACGCACGCACCCACCCCACCCGGCUGCCGGACGCAAGCGUAAGUCAAGGACUUGCAUGCUAGAAUCAGACAGAAAAUCCAGAAAAGCCACGUUAUUUAACAGAACCCUACAAGGUCAGCUUUGAGUCAAAGCAGGACGGAGCCCUGACAGCAAUGUUUGCUACGGCCUCCCUCUGCAGUCAGCCUAAAGCAAGGAGCUGGAGGUAGAUGAGGCAAAGGUAAAGGAGACCAAAACAGUAUUUUAAAGAAAAAAUCAUUUAUCUUCAAAUAGGCUCCAAACCUAAGAUGGUGUAUACUGUUAGAGGACAAGAACCUGCUUCUAGCCAUCUUUGCGUCUCCAGGACCUGACUUGUGACCAUUCAAUAAGAGUUUGAUAGAUGGACAGACUAAUGAAUAGAUGAAGAUGAUUAGAAGCCAAAAUUUCUGAAUCUUCCUAGCACCCAGAACAUGGCUUAACAUCAAGGAAAUGCUCACUAAAUACUGUCAUAAUGGAAUGAAUGGAACCGAUGCCUAAUUGAAAAUCAUUAGGCUGUAAACCAUUUCCAUGUUCCAAUUUCUU
rnacentral:lncRNA from 1 species